rnacentral:rRNA from 1 species
UUUAUCAAAAACAUGUCUUUUUGUAUUUAAUUUAAAGUCUAAUCUGCCCACUGAUUUUUAAUUAAAGGGCUGCAGUAAUUUGACUGUACAAAGGUAGCAUAAUCAUUAGUCUUUUAAUUGAAGACUUGUAUGAAAGAUUUGAUGAGAUAUAAACUGUCUCUUUAUUACAAUUAAAAUUUAAUUUUUUAGUUAAAAAGCUAAAAUAUUUUUAAAAGACGAGAAGACCCUAUAGAGUUUUAUAGUUUUUAUUAUAAAAUAUUUAUAUAAAAUUUUAAUGUUAUAUUAUAAAAAUUAUUUUGUUGGGGAGAUAAAAAAAUUAAAUAAACUUUUUUAAAUAUUUUCAUGAAUAAUUGAGUAAUUGAUCCAUAUUUAUUGAUUAAAAGAAAAAAUUACCUUAGGGAUAACAGCGUAAUAUUUUUUUUUAGUACAAAUAAGAAAAAAAGUUUGCGACCUCGAUGUUGGAUUAAGAUAAAAUUUAAAUGUAAAAGUUUAAAAUUUU